rnacentral:rRNA from 1 species
CAGUCAUGUCUGCCAGGACUCAGCCUUGCUUCUGCUUGGUGUACUUUCUGGUUUGACGGGCCAACAUCAAUUUUGACCGUUGGAGAAAGGCUUUGGGAAUGUGGCACCCUCGGGUGUGUUAUAGCCCUUUGUUGUAUACAACGGUUGGGAUUGAGGACUGCAGCACGCCUUUAUGGCCGGGGUUCGCCCACGUACGUGCUUAGGAUGUUGGCAUAAUGGCUUUAAGCGACCCGUCUUGAAACACGGACCAAGGAGUCUAGCAUAUAUGCGAGUGUU